UUAUUAUUAGCUGUACGAAUACACACACUGAGGCAUGUUUUUGUUAUCACCUAGAGCCUUUCUAGCCAUCCCAUUAUUAUCAUUAUUAUCAUUGUUUUACCCCGUUGAGCCUUUAAUCAUUUAUUGUGAUAUACCCGUUUUUUUUUUCUAAACCCACGACCCUGGACCUAUCUUACCCUGUUCAGAGUAUGUGAGAAGUGAUUUCAUAUCUACGUUUCUAUCUAAGUUUGGGGUUGCUGUUG
rnacentral:lncRNA from 1 species